rnacentral:rRNA from 1 species
AGCAGCCGCGGUAAUUCCAGCUCCAAUAGCGUAUAUUAAAGUUGUUGCAGUUAAAAAGCUCGUAGUUGAAUUUCGGGACUGGCGCAUCGGUCGUGCCUCACGGGGUAUGAACUGGUGCAGUCAAUUUCUCACCUUCUGGAGAACCGCGAUGUCCUUAAUUGGAUGCCGCGGGGAACCAGGACCUUUACUUUGAAAAAUUAGAGUGUUUAAAGCAGGCAUUUUUGCUUGAAUACAUUAGCAUGGAAUAAUAAAAUAGGACGGCAUGGUUCUAUUUUGUUGGUUUCUAGGACCACCGUAAUGAUUAAUAGGGAUAGUUGGGGGCAUUAGUAUUCAAUUGUCAGAGGUGAAAUUCUUGGAUUUAUUGAAGACUAACUACUGCGAAAGCAUUUGCCAAGGAUGUUUUCAUUAAUCAAGAACGAAAGUUAGGGGAUCGAAGACGAUCAGAUACCGUCGUAGUCUUAACCAUAAACUAUGCCGACUAGGAAUCAGACGAUGUUAAUUUUUUAAUGACUCGUUUGGC